UACGUAGGGGGCAAGCGUUGUCCGGAAUCAUUGGGCGUAAAGAGCGCGUAGGCGGUCCGGUAAGUCGGUUGUGAAAACUGGGGGCUCAACCCUCAGAGGCCGACCGAUACUGUCGGGCUAGAGUCCGGAAGAGGCGAGUGGAAUUCCUGGUGUAGCGGUGGAAUGCGCAGAUAUCAGGAAGAACACCAACGGCGAAGGCAGCUCGCUGGGACGGAACUGACGCUAAGGCGCGAAAGCGUGGGGAGCGAACAGG
rnacentral:rRNA from 1 species